rnacentral:lncRNA from 1 species
GUCUCUGUGAUCUCACGAGGUAACAGUGAAAGCAAAGGUCUCUGUGAUCUCACGAGGUAACAUUGAAAGCAAAGGAUUCUUAUUUAUAUCAUGCAAUGAGUCCUGACAUGCAAUAGUGACUUCUCCAAGUUUCAAGUAUUAUUUAAUAGAGAAGAUGGGACUCCCCUGGCAAAGAUUGGUGAUAAAGUGCUAAGAUAAGAUGUCAACCACGGGGUUGUUGCAGGAAAAGCGGGUUGAGAUUACCAAUGACAAGAGCAUGAACCACAUAGAUUGUAAAUUUUUCUUGUACAUUUUCGAUUAUUAAUGGAGUGGUUUUCACUAUCAUUAGUUUACAAAAAACAGAACCUGUGUAAGGGGUUUGAUAAUAUGCACCCACAAAAUGAAGAAAAAUAAGUUUUCCUUAUCUUUCUAAAUUAUGUAAAUAUGGAAAUAAGCACAACUGCAUAGGCAGAGUAAUGAAACUCCUUUCAGUCGCAAUACAG